rnacentral:rRNA from 1 species
AUGGGAGCAUGGAGUAAACCAUACUCUGGGGUGUCUGAUCCCCUGAUCAUUGAGGCCUUGGCACUGCGGGAAGGAGUUCGAUUGGCUACACUUCGAGGCUUCCUAUAUCUGAUAAUAGAGGUAGACUGUCUGGAGCUGGUGUCGCUCUGGAAAACUCGCCACAUUUCCCGUUCUAUUGUGGCUCCAAUCUUGUUAGAAAUGGGAGAGCUCAUUAGUUGUUUCACUUCUUUUGAUAUAAAACAUGUAAGCAGGUCAGCUAACGCAACGGUGCUUCUUUGUGCAAAACAUACAUGCACCUUGAAUGUGACCGAAACUUGGCUGGCUGAGACCCUGAGCUUCCUUGUGACUAGUCUUCUGGCUGAUUGUCCGAGGAAUGCUUUUAUCUGA